UUGCUCGCUUCAGCAGCACAUAUACUAAAAUUGGAACGAUACAGAGAAGAUUAGCAUGGCCCUUGCGCAAAACCAGGUUUUCAAGACUCACAUCUUCAAAUACGUAUUUUU